rnacentral:lncRNA from 1 species
CCCGGCCACGUAGCUCAGCUCCACCCUCCCUGCUGCGCAGGCGCACAGUGUUCUGUGACAGCCCAGUGUGUCCUCAGGGCUGGGUCCGCUGGCUGGUCUCCCAGCCGAGUGAGCGGUGAGUGGUCGCCGGUCAACAGUAUGAGGCGGUGCCUGCCCCCCGCCGCUCGCCGUCUGCCCGGCCUCCAUAGACUGAGGAGAACGGCGAGGCCAAGGUCGGCUCACACUGACAAGGCCAGCUGCACCCUGCCUCGCUGCGGCCUAGCGCCUGUCGCUUCCCACAGCCCUGGCGAACCCACCGGCUGAGGGGGACCAGGCUGGACCCGCCCGACUUUCGGUCCGCCCGUUCCUCCUGUACUGGCAGCCGAGGUGUGUGGGGAGGUUCGGUUCCGGGCCCGAUCGGACUAAAUGGCCGAGCAGUGGACAGGCCAACGUGGGACCCAAGGUGCCGGAAUCGGCAGGUCGCGCCCGCUGCCCGCCCCGCGCCCCGCGGCAGGGAACCUUCCAGGGUGGCUUCCCGGCCGCCCUCCGUCUGAAGUCAGCUUAAGGGGCUCCGUUUCUCAGUCCCGGACGUCUCCCAGGGAGCGCCAGCCCGGCCUGAGUGCAGGAGGCCUCCUCCAGCAGGCGAGGAAAGGAGGGAGCCCCUCGUCUCCUCCUCGGCAGCAGAGUCCAGGACCUGGAGUCCCCGAGAGGACCUCUGAGCCCUUCAGACGACCUCACGCAGCGUCGGUCAGGGUCGGGACACGAGGCCCUUCCUCCAUGGCCAGGCUGCAGGAGGCCAGGUUUCCGCAGUCGAGUCACCGAGACGACCCACAGCAGCCACGAAGGGGUGGCAUGGGAACCCCAUGUCUG